GACGAACGCUGGCGGCGUGCUUAACACAUGCAAGUCGAACGGAAAGGCCCUGCUUGCAGGGUACUCGAGUGGCGAACGGGUGAGUAACACGUGGGUGAUCUGCCCUGCACUUCGGGAUAAGCCUGGGAAACUGGGUCUAAUACCGGAUAGGAGCCAUUUUUAGUGUGAUGGUUGGAAAGUUUUUUCGGUGUAGGAUGAGCUCGCGGCCUAUCAGCUUGUUGGUGGGGUAAUGGCCUACCAAGGCGGCGACGGGUAGCCGGCCUGAGAGGGGGGACGGCCACAUUGGGACUGAGAUACGGCCCAGACUCCUACGGGAGGCAGCAGUGGGGGAUAUUGCACAAUGGGCGCAAGCCUGAUGCAGCGACGCCGCGUGGGGGAUGACGGCCUUCGGGUUGUAAACUCCUUUCGCUAGGGACGAAGCUUUGUGUGACGGUACCUAGAUAAGAAGCACCGGCUAACUACGUG
rnacentral:rRNA from 1 species